rnacentral:lncRNA from 1 species
GGAAUAUGCGGUCAGCAUUGACGAAGUCAAGAUGGACCAGGGGAAGGUCAAGGUGAUCCUAGAUUGGCCACUACCCCAAACAGUCAGAGCACUCCAACGCUUCCUAGGCUUCGCCAACUUCUCAUAAUGGAUGACUAUAACUGUGUUGAUUCAGAAUCAUCCACAUUUAAAUCAUGAUGCAUCAUAGAAAUUAUACAUUAUGACACCCUAACCAUAAAGGGAUAAAACACAUUAUUCUAAACGAGCAUGCCUAAUUUACAUGAUGAUUUUAACAACAGGUGGUGCUAUAACUAUUUAAAAUAUUUGAAAGCCAAAGAUUUUUAUUUUAUUUUAAAUAACCCCAGUGUAGAGAAAAUGUCUAUGUAUUACUGUAACAAGGUUCAAUGAUCAAAGAGGAAGGAGACCGGGAUCGGCGUUCUGAGGCUCGUGGGUAUUUAUUGAAUAAUUUAAAAAGAAACAGAAAAUAAAGUCGCGCCACAUGCGCACACGUUUAACGUCUUUUCACUCUAUGUGACUGCUGUCUGCUUUGAGGCUUCACCAGCUCGCCUCCGCUCGGAUUCCCCACGAGUCCUCAGCUCUCUCGCUCUUCUCGGGAUGUCGUGCGGCUUAAAUACCGGUUCCCCACGCCAAUCACUGCAAUGAGACCCAGCUGUUAAUCGUUUCUCACCUGAACCACUUACCACCGCUCGUCUCUUCAUUUGCUCUCCCAUUGCAGACUUCGCUAAACCACGCCUCCGCCGCCACAAUUACAUUGUUUCACUUAUAUAUCAAAAUUCAAAUGUGAUAGGUCUCCUCACUCUGAAAAACUUUGCCUAAAGAAACACUUCUCUCAAUCAAAUCAUUCAAUCCUUGGUUUUUCUGUUGAAGAUGGUAAUAUUUAUGUCUUUGUCUUUUAGAGAAAGUUAUGAGUUUGUAUGAACAGUUUCUGAGGGGACCAUGUCCCACCCCAAAACGAUGUCAAAAUGCACGGCAGCGGGUGGAGACGGUGAGACAAUUUAUGAACAAAGCUUUUAAAGGGAGUCCCACUGGAAAAUGGGACUCCAUUUUAAAGGAAGAUGUUUUCUUUGGCUAUAUCAAAACACUAAAAGAACAGCACAAUUAUCGGCCAAC